rnacentral:rRNA from 1 species
UACAGAGGGUGCAAACGUUGUUCGGAAUUACUGGGCGUAAAGCGCGUGUAGGCUGCUCAGUAAGUCAGGUGUGAAAGCCCUGGGCUCAACCCAGGAAGUGCACUUGAAACUGCCAGGCUAGAGUACUGGAGAGGUUGGUGGAAUUCUCGGUGUAGAGGUGAAAUUCGUAGAUAUUCGCAAGAACACCAGUGGCGAAGGCGGCUCACUGGCCCGAUACUGACGCUGAGGCACGAAAGCGUGGGGAGCAAACAGG